GACGAACGCUGGCGGCGUGCUUAACACAUGCCAGUCGAACGGACAGGCCCUGCUCUUGUGGGGUGCUCGAGUGGCGAACGGGUGAGUAACACGUGAGUAACCUGCCCUUGACUUUGGGAUAACUUCAGGAAACUGGGGCUAAUACCGGAUAGGAGCUCCUGCUGCAUGGUGGGGGUUGGAAAGUUUUGGCGGUUGGGGAUGGACUCGCGGCUUAUCAGCUUGUUGGUGGGGUAGUGGCUUACCAAGGCUUUGACGGGUAGCCGGCCUGGGAGGGUGACCGGCCACAAGAGGACUGAGAUACGGCCCAGACUCCUACGGGAGGCAGCAGUGGAGAAUAUGGCACAAUGGGCGGAAGCCUGAUGCAGCAACGCCGCGUUCGGGAUGACGUCCUUCGGGUUGUAAACCGCUUUCGCCUGUGACGAAGCGUGAGUGACGGUAAUGGGUAAAGAAGCACCGGCUAACUACGUG
rnacentral:rRNA from 1 species